rnacentral:rRNA from 1 species
GAUGAACGCUAGCGGCAGGCUUAACACAUGCAAGUCGAGGGGUAUAGUUCUUCGGAGCUAGAGACCGGCGCACGGGUGCGUAACGCGUAUGCAAUCUACCUUUUGCAGAGGGAUAGCCCAGAGCCAUUUGGAUUAAUACCUCAUGGUAUGUGAGAAUGGCAUCAUUUUCACAUUAAAGUCACAACGGCAAAAGAUGAGCAUCCGUCCCAUUAGCUAGUUGGUAAGGUAACGGCUUACCAAGGCAACGAUGGGUAGGGGUCCUGAGAGGGAGUUCACCGCCACAGGUACUGAGAAACGGACCAGAGUCCUACGGGAGGCCGCAGUUAGGAAUAUUGGACAAUGGGCGCAAGCCUGAUCCAGCCAUGCCGCGUGCAGGAUGACGGUCCCAUGGAUUGUAAACUGCUUUUGUACAGGAAGAAACACUGGUUCGUGAACCAGCUUGACGGUACUGUAAGAAUAAGGAUCGGCUAACUCCGUGCCAGCAGCCGCCGUAACAC